UUAAACCAUAUUAAUAUUCUGAAAACCAAAACAAACACCCACUACACUUGACACAUUUUUUUUUUGUACCAUAAUGAAAGCCUAUGUGUUUGGGCCCACAGUUUCAGCCAGGAUUUUGACCUGGGGCCUCCUAACUGAUCCUGAGGCUUUAAGACCACACAGCAUGGGUCUGCGAAUUGCAAAUGGGAGGCUUACUUUUCCCAUUCUUAUCCAAGCCUCCAGAAGUGGCUCUGGAGCUAGAUCCAGCCUCCUUUCUUACGAAGCCUUGGAUACAUCCCACUUAGCUUGACAAACUUUUACCGGAAUUCUCUGAUCCCAUUUCACAGCUGUUGCAAAGGUAGGGUCUUGGUUGUGUCUUCCUUCAAGCUGCUUAUGAACCAGGGGUGGAGACUAGGAAGUAAGGAACCCUGGAAUCAGAGAAGUCAGGAGCAAGCAUCUUGUUGGCUUGAGGUUCUCCAGGCACCAUAAAUCAAGUAGUGCGCAUACUAAGAAAACAAGCUGGACAACAAGAGGAGAGCAGGAGGGUCCUUAGGAUUGGCUGCUUGUACCAUGGCCCCCAGUGGCUCAGUAGAGACAAGGGGAAUCCCAGUAUUUUCAUGCCUGGGACUCUGUUUUGAUCCCUGCAAGUACAGUGUUAUGAUACUCCUUUUAUGGAUGAUGAAUUGGAGACACCAAGAGGUUCAGAGCUUCUUCCAAAGUCAUAGAGCCAGUGAGUUGUGAAGACGAGGGGCUCAGUCUUCCGAUUCAUGCAAAGGGUUGAUGUGACAUUUUCAGAGCCUAGUUCUAGCUUCAUUGUGCUGGAAAGUGGUCUUGGCCUGAGGACAGCAGGGUGCUUCAGAGUCCAGUCUGAUGCCCUUUGGCAGCCACACACCCUCCUGUGAAGGCACCACAAAUUCCUUGGGAGGGAGACGCGUUCCAGAUGUGUAUGCCGCCUCUAGAGAAAACGUGGCUUCUUCUGGUGAGCCACAUGCAAGGUGUCUCGCUGGCCACUGUGAAGUGGGGAGAGACGCCUGGAGCAAGCCAUGAUCUCUGCCAGCACUGGAAUCACCAACAUCCUUGAGCUUCCUUCAGUCUGAUGCAGAACCUGAGGACGUGGCCAUCUCUUGGUGGUGUUCUGGGAAAGCAGGAAGUCUUCAGACCUGAUUGUCUUCAGAUUUCAGCCAUGGGCUCCCUGGUGAGCCAUCUCAGGGGUAUAGGAAACAUGGAUGCCGCCCCGGAGGCAGCUCUCAGGUAUGCAUCCCCUGGUGGCCCGGGCCUCUCCGGGGCUGGUGGCUCAGGCUGGAGGGACAGGCACUGAAUGAGGCUGUGUACUAGAUUUCUCCCCUUUCCACAUGCUGGUCUUACUGAGGCAGGUUCAGGGGGUGCUCUGAGGGACAGAAUGCUGUAGGGGACAAAGAAAAAAAUCCCCCUUCUUCCUCUGAAGGUUUGCUGAAAAAUCAACUCACAAAAGGAGAUUAAUUGGAAUAAAGGCAUACAGAUCAAUAUGCGCAUGGGGGAGAACCGUGGAGUGAUUACCCCACCAUCUGCAUUGAGCGCAAUCUGGGAUCUCAGGGGCUGACAGCAGAGAAGUUACCUGAAGGCGCAACAAGCAGUGGUCCCUGUAGGCAGAAGCUACCUGGUGCCCCAGUGAUGUGGGAGGCCCUCAGUUCCUGCGCUUCUUGCUGCCUGGGCACAUGUUCCCGGAGGAUGGCAGGACCUCCUGGCCUCUCCCCUGUCUACCCGCCAGAGCUCUGCUUCUUAAGAUAAGACCACCUCUUUCCUCCAGCCAAUGUGCUGCUCUUCUGACUUCAAAACACUUGCACUUCCAGGGCUCAACGUACAGUGAGUUCUCAAGGAUUCGGUGAAUAAAUGUACAAAUGUCUCCCGUUACAGCUGCCACAUUCAGUGGGGUAGGUCUUAUGAUCAUUUCUCUGAGGAAGGGUGCUGUGCUCAUGGUCUCAGUCUGCAAAUUGCAGACUGAGAAUCCAACGAAGGCACCUGCUCUCUGCCCCCGCACCCCCCCACCGGCCCCAAGGCUGACCCUCUCCUCCCCUGGUAUCAGCUCGAAGCAUUGUUGGAGUCCCCAGGGACCCGGAUGCUUCCCUGUGUGCCCUGUCUUUGAGGUGCCCGCCAUCUCAAGUCAAGACACACAGCAGGGUGUGAGAGGCCAGGGAGCCCAUGGGAAUUCCAGGGGAUGCUCUCAGCGUGUUUUGUGAGGAACGACUGGCUCACCUAGUCAGGCCUGGGACAAAAUAUCACCUGCUGAAGGAUGAUUGGCUGUGGCGCUGGCCUUGUGCUGGAAGAGGGCCUCUGAGAGCACAGGGAACUGCCCCUGGGCAUUUUCUCACAAUUGUUCCGAGGGUUAGAGGCUGGAUCCCAGGAACCGCGUGUGGCCACUCUGUCCUUCUUCAGAGAGAGAUUCAACUUCCGGAGCCAGGGUCACCCCUAAUGGCUCACUUCCCUUCCUUCCCCUGCCAGGAUUUUCCCCCAGAUUAUCUUGGGGUUGUCUCAGCCCUUACCAUACCUCAUCCUUCCCAGCAGCAGCCCGCCAGCCCCACGCGGAGUGUUCUACUCUUUCCAAAGACAGCCCACAUUUCGGGGUCUCCUGCACCCCCAAAUGUGGGAUUGGUAAGAUGCACGCUUCCUGACUUGGGUUUCUUCUUUCAUUUGCAGUUAAAAACCAUGACCACAAAAGAGACAUCCACAACUCGCUGUAAUAGGCGCUUGCAUAAUAGACGUGGGGACAGUGUUUGGGGGAACAGGAUAGGGUGGCUCUGUUUUUCCAACAGUUGUGAGAUUCAUUUUGGUGAAGUAAGAAGGUUUUACAGGGUCCUCUAAGACAGAAGGGGUUUCCUGGGAAGGAAGCUGGCUUAUCAACCUGCCUCCUCUCGCUCACCUGGUGCUAGCUGCUUACUUUCCACCCUUUGCCCUCUGCUGAAGGGAGAGUUUGAACAUCUUUAGAUUCUUUUCUUUGCUUGGCAAGAUGUGCUGUAUUUAUUCAACUUAGCCUCAAGGUUAAGCACACAGACCCUUGUCAGAAGCCAGACAGCGAGUGUUCAAAUCCCAGCUGUGUCACUUACCAGCUCUGUCACACCUUGGGGAUGUGACUUCACUUGCCUUGAUUUCCUCAUCAGUGAAAUGGGGAUAAUAAUAGUACUUGCCCCAUAAACAGGGAUAAUAGUACUUACCUUAUAUAAUAAGGAUUACAUGUAAACAUUUAAUAUACAUAAAGCUCUUGUUUGUUUGUUUUUAGAGACAGGGUCUCAGUCUGUCAUCCAGGCUGGAGUGCAGUGGCAAGAUGCUAGCUCACUGCAGCCUUGACCUCCUGGGCUCAAGGAAUCUUCCUAUUUCAGCUUCCUGAGUAGCUAGGAGUACAGGUGCAUGCCACCAUACCUGGCUAUUUUUAAAACAUGCUUUUAUAUAGAUGGGGUCUUGCUCUGUUUCCCAGGCUAGUUUUGAACUUCUGGCCUCAAGCACUCCUCCCACCUCAGCCUCCAAAGUAUGGGGAUUAUAGGCAUGAGCCACUGUGCCCAGCCAAACAGCUCUUAAAAUAUACAAAAGCUCUUAAAAUAGUGCCUAGCACAGUGUUUACUAUUGUCACUAUCUACUUGGAUUCUCUGCCUGUUGGUCUCCACUUUGCACAAUUAUUUGUGGACAUUUGAGAUCGUCGAGUUCUCGAGAACCAGUCAGGCUGAUUUACCUCCAAUGUACGUGUAAUAUGUUUUUUUCCUUUUCUGGAACUGAGCAACAUCCUCCAAGUUUGUCCACUCUCCGAGUGUCUUAACUGCCCCCGGUAGAGAGGCAUUUAGCAAACAGAAACAGAUUACAGAGACCCUCGUGGCCACAUGCAAUUUGCAGUUGCUCUCAAGAGUGGGUGUGGUCACUUGUUGUUCCCUUUAGCCAUCAUAUCAGCUGCCUGGGUGAGGGGUCAGUGUGCCAAACGUUCCUGGUGGGAAAUGACUUGGUUUCCCAUAUGAGCCCCGACCUUCACUGGCCUCUCCCUCUUAGAACUCCCAUUAACCACCAUGUGUGCUGGUCACUGCAGCUGAAUCCAUCCACAGGGGCUGCCCAGAAAAAGACAAUGACUUCUGCAGGGCUGGGGAGGCUGUCCUCGUGAAAAUAACUGAAUCUACCCGAGUGUGUGGCCUGUGCUGGGGAAACGUGGGUGACUUGAAUGAUGUCAGGCAAUCAGUGCAAUUGAAAUAUGUCAAAAAUGGCUCCAUCAACGCACCCGGCUCAUAUUUAGCUAUAAAAUGUGAGGCCAGGUUACGAACCGGAAGCAUUUCUUUCAACCAAAGUCAUUUGGAAAGGAAUAUCUUUGACACAUCCUUGCUGCCCCUUCCCCCAUUGCGGUGUCCCUGGCUGUGUGGCUGGCAGCCUGGCUCUUGGUGAGUCGCAGCUGCACCUGUGCCCACCUUCUCACCACGGGAGUAGGUGCUUCUCCUUUGGGCACCUUCUGGCUUUGCACCGUAAAAGUGAAAUACGGUGUGGUCCUGCAAGCUGCUUCUCCAGUGAUGUGAAAAGCGUAAGAGAGAGGCUCUGGGAAGGGGCAGAUGCUGCAGGUGCAAUGAUGCCAGCUGUUGAGGACGGUGCCCUGUGCCUGGGGAAGUACAUGCUGUAACUGGAGCUCCACCUUGGUACCCCACCGCUGGACCCUCCAAAGAGAGCUCUGACAUGUAUGAAGUUUCAUAUACUCAAUUCCUUUACCGCUGGACUUGUGAGAAUUGUAUGAGGAAGGCCACUUUGAGGAUCAUAUUCAUGCUGGCAAUAAUGACAUGAAAAGCAACAGUAAUAGUAGCAACUAUCGUCAAGGUCCCAUAGGUACCAGUUUUCAUGCUUAACAGCACAACCAUCUCAUCCCUGGAACCAAGCAUCCCUGGAACCAAGCAAGAUCAGUGCUGUUGAUCUUCAUUUUGCAAUUGAGGUAACGGAGGCUCAGUUAACUUAAGUAACUUGUCAGGGGUACAAAGUAAGUAUAAGUGGCUGAGCUGUGAUUCAGAUCCAGGCCCAUCUGAUGCGAUAGCUCAUUCUUUUCUCCAUGACAUCAGGAGGCCUCCUCCUCCCUUGUGUUGCUCAGAGUUCUGAUAAGAAUCAGAUUUCUAGGUGAAUCACAAGAAGGUGACUAUUCUGGUUAGAUAACGGGAGAAUGGGCCCCAUCAUGGCAACAGACUCCUAAGACUCAUACAUCACAAGAAAGGGCUCCCUACAGCUUUGACACUAGGGUGCUUCUCUGUGCACCUCCUUGCUCCCCUCCCAUGAGAAGGACUGUCUUUCAUCCUCAUAGCUAUUAUUUUUGAAACAUCAGUUUUAAUUUGGGGCACCCGCUCUCUUCGGGAGAUUGCAAAAAUUAAAUCGUUUUUAAGCAACCCAACAACACUUCUGGGGUUUGUAAUAAACUUGUGAAAUUUGCGGAACUUGGUGGUUGAGGUUCUCUCCGUCCUACUUCCCUGGGGCCCCGAGGAGCUUUCGAGUUGGUUCUUCAUGCCCUCUUGUUUGGAGCUGCUUUUGUCAACUGGGCCCAGCUACUGCGUCUUGGACCAAGGAGGCGAUGAGCCCUGAAACAGUCCAGGGUCUCUAGGAGAGCAACUCCCAAACCAUGUUUCUGGCCCUGCCUUCCCUCUGUUAUUCUGGGGAAAAAACUGACCCUACGUGGGUGGGAGGUCCCAUCUACAGAGACCAGCCUUGUUUGUUUCCAUAGGAUUUGACUACUGAGGGGCACGAAAAUACAUAGCCAACUUCCCCUUGCAGAGUUCACUGUCUCCCCUUCCAGCAGAUGACUCCAGGAUCCUUGGAAGCAUAGGAACACACCCCAGUUGAUGACACUGUUUCCUCUCCUCUGCAGAAGAAGAUCCUCUCCACUCACAGGAAACAGCAGCAAGAUGGUUUCCAGGCACCAGCUGUCACUGGGCUUGUACUGUUACAGUCCAAGCUGAGCACGCAAGGCAGGGUGUGUUUCUGGCUCCCCAUAGCUGAAAGCUCAACUUCAUGUGGUCAGGUCUUGGAUGGCGUCAAGGCCUGUAGGGUGAACAGAACUCUCUGAGUCACCUUUCCCUGCUGUUCAGGGCCUUGAUAUAACAGACAGGGCCAUUGGCUCCACAGGGGCAUGGUGGGGAAGAAGGGUCCAGGAAGGCACUUUGCCUUUGUGUCUUGUCCUUGGUAUUUGGAGGGCAACACCCCUGUAUUUUUCUAAUCCUAUUAGCUAAGAAUCUGGAACCUGGGCCAGAGGCCUGGGUUCUAACACUAUCUCCACCGUUUCCCAACCAUGGAUACACCCUAUACUUUCCCUCGUCUGUACAGUGGAGCUAAUAAUAGUACCUAACUCAUGGAACUAUCAUGAGUCUUAAAUGAGUGUUAACACGCAUGAAGUGAAGUGCUUAUAUCUGGCAGAUAGUAAAUGUGUAUUAUCAAUUUAAUUUACACUAUUAUUUGACUGUAUUUCUACUAUACAGAGCAACUAUUGCCUGGUCAUAUGUCCUAACAAAUAAACUGUGGAGACAGACAAGUAACUGUCUCAGUGCUAAGGACACCACUGACCCUCAACAGAAUAAUGCCCCCUAAAGAUGUGUAGACCCUAAUCCCCGGAAUCUGGGAAUGUGUUAGGUUACACGGCAAAGGCAAAGGAAGGUUGCAGGAGGAGCUGAGGCUGCAAAUCAGCUGACCUUACAGUGGGAAGAGAAGCCUGAGUUCUCCAGGUGAGACCAAUGUCCAGCAUCCUGGCUGAGCCUGCUCCCUUUACAAACAAGGUUAGGAUUUAUAACUGCUUUCAUGGUAACAUCUGGCUCAUUUCUCUCAAGUUCCCCCAACUCUUUUUUUUUUUUUAGUAUACAAAUCUUUAUUCUAAAGUCAUUUCAUUUCGGCUCAAUUCCUUCUCUCUCUCUUUCUACCUGUUUGUUUGGCCUUUGGAGAUUGAGAAUGAGAAGUAACAGGACUCAUUACCCACAGCUAGUCACAAGAGGAGACAGAGGGAGAGUGAAUGCAAAAGAAAGGUACCAGAGAGGCCACCUUGCUGGCUGUCAAGGUGGAGUAAAGAGGCCACAAGCCAAGGGGUGUAGGCGGCCUGGUCUCUUCUGCAGCUGCUUUUUAAAACUCUAGGACUUUCUUCCACCAACAAAUUCUUUAGGUUUUAUCAGAGUUAGGAGGCAGUUAGCAUCUGCAACAAUAGAAAGAAUAUGUAUUAUUUGGAAUGCUUGUGUGGCUUAUACAGCUCCCAACCAGUUCGGGAGUCUUAACACAUUGUGCUAAAAGAUGCUGAAGGCUGGGUUUCCACUUCCCAAACAAUUUCAUUCUCUAAGAAAACUGCCGAUAAAGAUAAAAAACAUUACAGCCAAAUGGAGUCUUGCCUGAAUCCCAGGCCCUGCCACAUCGACCGCUGGUUCUAUCAGUGGCCAGUGUUCUGGAAACGCUUCCCCGACAUCAAGGAAGCCGGAUCCUCCCCACACAGUGAUGGGUUCUAGGCCAUUUUUGCUGCCUCGGUCUGGGAGCUCACCAUCCUCAGAAGCUCCCAGCACCUGGAGAUGUCUCGCAUCCUGGCUGAGCCUGCUCCCUUUAGCAAACAAGGUCAGGAUUUGUAACUGCUUUUGUGGCAACAUCUGGCUUAUUU
rnacentral:lncRNA from 1 species